rnacentral:rRNA from 1 species
UACGUAGGAUGCGAGCGUUGUCCGGAAUUAUUGGGCGUAAAGCGAACGUAGGCGGCCAUUUAAGUUUGGUCUUAAAGACCGGGGCUCAACCCCGGGAAUGGACUGAAUACUGGGUGGCUGGAGCGUGCUAGAGGAUGGCGGAAUUCCAAGUGUAGCGGUGAAAUGCGCAGAUAUCAGGAGGAACACCGGUGGCGAAGGCGGGUCUCUGGGCCGAUACUGACGCUGAGGAGCGAAAGCGUGGGGAGCGAACAGG